GGGCAAGGGGCGCACAAAGGGGCUCUGUUCCUGUGCCCCCAGGGUGCCCCCUCUGCCUGCCUGGCUCUCAUGGUUGUCAAAACAGAGGGAACAUUCCUCAGCUGACCCAGGACACAAAGGCUUGUCCUGGGCUGGGAGCGAGGCGCAGUGGUUUCAUUAGUCCAGGCACAGUCAUAAAUCCCUCCCCGGAAGCCUGGCCUGCCGCCUCAACGACCAGCCUGAGAGCCAUGGCCAGUCCCACAAGUCCAAGUCCAUGGAUAGAGCCGUGAUGGAAACAAAGGAACACAUAGUGCAAAGAUGAAAAGAGAUUUUUAAAAAGAGAACAAAAGGGAGAACAAAGCAAAGUAAGCAGAAGAGACCCCAUCGCAGUGAAGCAGCUGCCCCUUGCAACGCGUGUCCCACUCACACUGGAGUCGCUUGCCUGGAUUCUGAGCAGCUCUCUGGCUAUCAGCACUGUUUAAAAUAUGACAACAUCUGACCUCAAGAUUUUCCUAUAGAAUACACUGGCUGACAGAAAGAUGUACUGUAGCGGGUCUUAAUAUUCUUUCUUUGGCACAGGGCUGUGAGACCAGGAAAGCAAUACGGGUGUAGUCAGGUGGAAAUAUCCAUAACCAUCAUAGCAGAAAAUACUCAGAUGCAAAAAAUGGAUUAUUUUUAGUAGAAGGAAACAAGUUAAAGAAAAGUAGAGAGAAGGUACCUUCAACCAAAUAACAUUUCACAGUGGUUAUGUAUUUUUUUGAAAUAGAAUUUUAUUUACUUAUUUCUGCUUCAGAGACAUUAUGUGGCCCUAUGGUCUAUGAAUAUCAUCUUAAUUGUUCUUUAACAUUUAAUUAAUAUUUACAUAAUUUAAUAUCUUCAUUUAAUAUUUACCCCAAAUGAGCCAGG
rnacentral:lncRNA from 1 species